CACAGCACACCACAAGAUCAAGCUCUUAUGCGACUUACGUAAAAGUGAAGUCUAAUCAGAAGGUCCAGCAUCUUUUCAAUCUGACAAA